rnacentral:pre_miRNA from 1 species
CGUGAGUGUUUGCGACGGUUAGCGUCUGGUAUCGGUGCUCACCGGGUGAACAUUCAUUAU